AGCGAACGCUGGCGGCGUGCUUAACACAUGCAAGUCGAGCGAAGGUGUUUCAAGGGUAACCUUGAGAUACACUUAGCGGCGGACGGGUGAGUAAUACGUGGAUAACUUACCUCUAGGCCUGGGAUAACCCCGGGAACGUGGGGCGUAAUACCUGAUAAGACCACAUUGUCUACGGACAAAGGGGUAAAAGGUAGGCUGUGCAAACAGCUAUCGCCAAAAGAAUAGGUUCACGU
rnacentral:rRNA from 1 species